CUCUUUCUCUCCUGUGACCAUGUGAAGAAGCUGCUUGCCUCCGCUUCACCUUCCACCAUGAUUGUAAGUUUCCUGAGGCCUCCCAGUCAUGCUUGCCGUUAAAACUGUGGAACUAAAAGUGACAACUUAAAAACUUUCUUUAAACAUAUCACUCUGACACCAAUGUGUAAGAUGAAGUGGACAGGAAUGGAACUGUACUGGGAGGCUCUGACAGUUCGGGUGAGAAGAAAUGAAGGGUCCUGUAAGCAGAUGAGCAGAUGAACAGAAGAGCAGAAGAGCAGCACAGCCGAGAAGGAAUGAAUGGCACAGCAGAGAAGGAGAGAAGAGAAGGAGCAUCUGAACGUUGAGAGUUCAACUAGAAAUGGUCAGAGAGGAGACUGAUCAUGGGAUAGCCAAACUCCAGGAGA
rnacentral:lncRNA from 10 species